GCCGAGGUGGUGGAAUGGUAGACACGCUGCUUUGAGGGGGCAGUGAGCGCAAGCUCGUCCGGGUUCAACUCCCGGUCUCGGCACCA
rnacentral:tRNA from 1 species